GUCCCAAUAGCUCAGUAGGAUAGAGCGGCUGCCUCCUAAGCAGCAGGCCGGAGGUUCGACUCCUCUUUGGGACGCCA
rnacentral:tRNA from 1 species